rnacentral:lncRNA from 1 species
NNNNNNNNNNNNNNNNNNNNNNNNNGUGCCCACGGCAUGCACACGCAGCGUCACGCGUGUGCUUAUGGCAUGCACACACAGCAUCACGCGUGUGCCCACGGCAUGCACACGCAGCGUCACACGUGUGCCCACGGCAUGCACACACAGCGGUACACGUGGGCUCACAGCAUGCACACACAGCAUCACACGUGUGCUCAUGGCAUGCACGCGCAGCAGCACACAUGUGCUCAUGGCAUGCACGCGCAGCAUCACACGUGUGCUCAUGGCAUGCACACACAGCGGUACACGUGUGCUCACGGCAUGCACACACAGCAUCACACGUGUGCUCAUGGCAUGCAUGCGCAGCCUCACACGUGUGCUCAUGGCAUGCACACGCAGCAGCACACAUGUGCUCAUGGCAUGCACAUGCAGCAGCACACGUGCCCACAGCAUGCACACACAGCGGCACACGUGUGCCCACGGCAUGCACGUGCAGUGGCACACGUGUGCUCAUGGCAUGCACGUGCAGCAUCACGCAUGUGCUCAUGGCAUGCACACGGCACACGUAGCAUGCAUGCAGGGCUUGCACACGUACACGUGGUGGGUGUGCACGGCAUGCACAUGCUGCCUCACACGUGUGCUCAUGGCAUAGACACACAGCAUCACACGUGCACACACAGCACGCGCACACGCAGCAUGCACGCAGGGCUUGCACGCACUUGCGCACACAGUGGGUGCACACGGCAUGUCAUGCAACCUCGCACGUGUGUGCGCAGAGCAUGCACACAGCAUCGCACAUGCUUGCGGCAUGCAUGCGCAGCAUCAUGUGUGCACGCAGCAUGCACAUGCGUGCACAUGACAUAUACACACAGCCUGCGUGCAGGGCUUGCACACGUGUGUGCACAUGGCAGGUACACAUGGCAUGUACACACAGCAUCACACGUGUGCGCAGCAUGCACCAGCAUCACAUGCGCAUUCGCAGCACACACACAUAGCGUCACAUGUGUGCACAUGGUGUGCAUGCACACACAGAGCACGCACGAACAUGGUGUGCACAGAGCGGGCACACUCAGGGCGCAAUACAUGCAUACACGUUGCAUGCAGAGUAUUGCAUGCCUGCACACCCACACACACACCCACACACACACACGCAGACACAGUAUGACAUGUGCACACACUGCGUGCAAACACAGAUGUGCUGACACACGGCAUGCACACGCAUGCACAAACCAUAGCAUAGACACACGUUGCAUGUAAGCGCCCAUACACAUAGCAUGUUCACACACCUGCCCACGUCAGGCACACAGGUGGCAUGUCCACAUGCGUGCACACACGUGAUUGCAUGUACACGGCUGGGCACACGCGUCCUGCACGCCCCUCUCUUGGGGAUGGUGCAGGCACCACCUUGCAGCGCACGCGUGUCCCCGAUGUGCACGCGCACGCUUCCACGGCACCCCCGUCGCACCCCUGCCAGGCGCUGCCCGGCACACGCAUGGCGGCACGUGUGUCCCCGCUUUGCUUUGCUCCCACGCGCUGGU